UACGUAGGGCGCAAGCGUUGUCCGGAAUUAUUGGGCGUAAAGAGCUCGUAGGCGGCUUGUCACGUCGGCUGUGAAAACCCGGGGCUCAACCCCGGGCCUGCAGUCGAUACGGGCAGGCUAGAGUUCGGUAGGGGAGACUGGAAUUCCCGGUGUAGCGGUGAAAUGCGCAGAUAUCGGGAGGAACACCGGUGGCGAAGGCGGGUCUGCUGGGCC
rnacentral:rRNA from 1 species